CCUACGGGAGGCAGCAGUGGGGAAUAUUGGACAAUGGGCGAAAGCCUGAUCCAGCAAUUCCGCGUGUGUGAAGAAGGCCUUCGGGUUGUAAAGCACUUUAGUGGGGAAGAAACAGCUUGGCCACACCAAGCCUUGACGGUACCCCAAGAAUAAGCACCGGCUAACUCUGUGCCAGCAGCCGCGGUAAUACAGAGGGUGCAAGCGUUAAUCGGAUUUACUGGGCGUAAAGGGUGCGUAGGUGGCUAUUUAAGUCGGAUGUGAAAGCCCGGGGCUCAACCUCGGAAUUGCAUUCGAUACUGAGUGGCUAGAGUUCGGUAGAGGGCGGCGGAAUUUCCGGUGUAGCGGUGAAAUGCGUAGAUAUCGGAAGGAACAUCAAUGGCGAAGGCAGCCGCCUGGGCCUGGACUGACACUGAGGCACGAAAGCGUGGGUAGCAAAUAGGAUUAGAUACCCUGGUAGUCCACGCCGUAAACGANAGAGACUAGUACGUGUUCGUUUACGUAGUACGUGUCGCNGCUACGACGAGUAGUUACUCCGUCCGUCGGGUAGGACGGCCGCGACGGUAGGUAAACGUUAAUAAGUAGUAGACGGCGUGAGACGUGCCGACGGACGACGACGAGGGAGGAGG
rnacentral:rRNA from 1 species